GCGGCCGCAUGCAGUUCGUCGUGGCGGGGAGCCGGAGCCUGACCGGGGUUCCAGCGCUCGGGCCGUAGCCUUGGCUCCUGGACUUUCCCUGGCUCCGCCGCCACGUGGGAGCUGAGGCUCUGGGGCUUCCGCCUCCGGCGCGCGAUUAUUUCUCUAGAACAGUUUUCAUUUUUAAAAUUUGUAAAGCGCUUUUGCCUGUGUGAUUUCCUCUGGGUUUUUUUUUUUUUUCUUCCUUUUUGUAGAGACGGAAUUGGCGGCGGGGGCGGGGGGUCGAUGUCUCACUUUUUUGCCCAGGCUGGUCUCGAACUCCUGGCUUCAAGGGAUCCUCCUGCCUCGGCCUCUUAAAGUGCUGGGAUUACAGGCGUGAGCCACCGCCCCCGGCCGCCUCUGAGUUUCCAGCCUCGUUGGCCCUCCAGCCUUUUAACCUGUUGGGCCUAGGAUCAGGAAAGGUUUGUUGAAUGGGGAACUAAGAAGUGAAUUCGUUCGUUCGACAAACGUUUCCUGAGCAGCCGCUGGGUGCUAUUCAUUGAUUCCAGGUAAAUCAGAGGAACAAGCAACAUGAACAGAAAUAUGUAGAAAAAGCUAUUAUGCAGAAGCAUAAUUGUUGUUUCAGAAGUCCAGCAUCUGGUGCACUUAACAAUAGAGAAUAUAUUAAACUCUUUCCAAAAUAACCUGUUGUUCCUACCUGUGUUGUAAGUGUUUUGUUUGUUUUUAAGUAAAUAUUGGUGAUUUGUUGCCAAAAACCUAAACUGUUUGUUGCUGUCAACUUAAAUAACGAACAGAGAGAGGCUCUCUAAAAGAAAAUGGCAUUUAUUCAGGAAUAGAGCACUGCAAUGAGAAAAUGCAUGCGAUAGUUAACUGUGUGUAUCCUGGGAGAUAGAGGAAGACAAAGGUCUUUAAAGGAAAAAUGAGGAGGGUUACAUAAUUGUUUUGAGAUAAUUAUUUUUGACUACAAGGAUCAGUAACAAAGGUGACACCAGUCCCAGGUUGGACAGGCAGGUGCUCGGCAGGCAUUGCAGAAGUAUUUUUUGUGUAAGAUUGAGAUGGCCUUUGUGCAGGAUUGUGGUUUUGG
rnacentral:lncRNA from 10 species